rnacentral:rRNA from 1 species
UACGUAGGGUGCAAGCGUUUGUCCGGAAUUAUUGGGCGUAAAGAGCUCGUAGGCGGUUCGUCGCGUCGGCUGUGAAAACCCGGAGCUCAACUCCGGGCCUGCAGUCGAUACGGGCGGACUUGAGUGUUGCAGGGGAGACUGGAAUUCCUGGUGUAGCGGUGAAAUGCGCAGAUAUCAGGAAGAACACCCGUGGCUAAGGCGGCUCUCUAGUACGGUACUGACGCUGAGACGCGAAAGCGUGGGGAGCGAACAGG